rnacentral:rRNA from 1 species
AUUGAACGCUGGCGGCAUGCCUUACACAUGCAAGUCGAACGGCAGCGCGGGCUUCGGCCUGGCGGCGAGUGGCGAACGGGUGAGUAAUGCAUCGGAACGUGCCCAAGAGUGGGGGAUAACUAGUCGAAAGAUUAGCUAAUACCGCAUACGAUCUACGGAUGAAAGUGGGGGACCGCAAGGCCUCAUGCUCCUGGAGCGGCCGAUGUCUGAUUAGCUAGUUGGUGGGGUAAAGCCUACCAAGGCGACGAUCAGUAGCUGGUCUGAGAGGACGACCAGCCACACUGGGACUGAGACACGGCCCAGACUCCUACGGGAGGCAGCAGUGGGGAAUUUUGGACAAUGGGGGCAACCCUGAUCCAGCAAUGCCGCGUGUGUGAAGAAGGCC